CAUUUUUUUCCCUGAAGAAGAAUUUUGGAGACGUUUUUGUAGCCCUCAUGCAGCAGUGCUUGGAUGGCUUACAAUGGUGAACUGCGUACUUACAGGGGAAAAUGGCUGGGGGCAGGUGGAAAGCAGGACCCAGUCCAGGAUACCAAAUUGCUCUUAGAACUCCAACUUUUGAGGAAAAUUAGGACCAGAGUUAUAAAAACCUCAGAGCUGAUGGAUAGUGACUGAGAUUCAGAAUCAGGAAGAAAAAACAGAAACAGCACACACGGGCGAUUGCUGAUUCUGAAAGCUGUGGCUAAGAGGAUGCAAACUGAGAAGGCUUUGGACAGAUUCAUGGAGAUGGGAGGCCUAAAC